rnacentral:lncRNA from 1 species
UUUUUAUGCCCUUUUUGCAAUAAUUCAAGUGACUGCAAAGUCAGUUGCCCCCUUUCAGACUAGCUGCAAACAGACCAAGUUGGAAAGACGGUGCAGGCGUGCAGAAGUGCUUUUCCACGCACGGUGUUGUGUUUUGGCUGGUUAAAGCAAGAAGGGAACAGCAGCUGUGCGGGAGCUCUUCAGGGCCGGAGCUGUUGCUCUCACCAGGUGAUUCCCCACGAAUCGUGCGGCAAGGUUGGAAGAGACCCCAGACGUGCAGCCUCCCGAGCCCGCUGCAGUUUAAGCUGGUCCAUUGUGGGAUAGGAAACGUGUGCUUUUCAAAGCCGUCUCUCCGGUAAAGAGCGGCAGGAAAAC